rnacentral:rRNA from 1 species
UACAGAGGGUGCGAGCGUUGUUCGGAAUUACUGGGCGUGAAGCGCGCGUAGGCGGGUUUGUAAGUCGAUUGUGAAAUCCCCGGGCUUAACCUGGGAACUGCAGUCGAAACUGCAAAUCUUGAAUGUCUGAGAGGAUGGCGGAAUAACCGGUGUAGUAGUGAAAUACGUAGAUAUCGGUUAGAACACCUGAGGCGAAGGCGGCUAUCUGGCGGUACAUUGACGCUGAGGCGCGAAAGCGUGGGGAGCAAACAGG